CAGAGCAGUAGCUUAAUCUGGAAAAGCAUAUCCAUGGAGGAUAGGUUGCCGGUUCGAUCCCGGUCUCUUUGG
rnacentral:tRNA from 2 species